CUGUAGUGGGGAGAAAAAAAAAUCCAAAAUCCAGAUUCCUCCCUCUAGAAGGUGGAUUCCUAGCCUGAAGCCAACAGAUGGACUAAAGAGGGUGAGACCCGGAUGGAGAAGAAUCGCAUUUAAAAUCAAGUGGAAGGACUGCGCCAUUAGUGAGCUGGGGAGCAAACCAAGGGUUGCCCUGGAAAUACGUUCAUUUUAAAAUUGCAAGCAAGAAUCAUUGACCUGAGCGUAGCAUCUGUUGAGACCCAGCCAUAGAGCUAACCAGGGUGCCUGAAGAUUUCCUCCUCCAAUGCUCUUGGCUUGAUUCUUUAAGCUCACCUCAGCAUUCCUCAGGGCGGCAGAACUUCGAGAGGCACCACUCAAAAUUGUACUCAAUAUAAAUGUCAGGAGGCAACCGUUCCAGGAAUUCCUUCACACACAAUAAAUGUGGAUAAUGCCCUCUGAAGUUGUCCA
rnacentral:lncRNA from 12 species